GAUGAACGCUGGCGGCGUGCCUAAUACAUGCAAGUCGAGCGGACGGACGAGAAGCUUGCUUCUCUGUUGUUAGCGGCGGACGUGUGAGUAACACGUGGAUCACCCACCUAUCAGACUGGGAUCACUUCGGGAAACCGGCGCUAAUACCGGAUAAUAUUUUGAACCGCAUGGUUCAAAAGUGAAUUACGGUCUUGCUGUCACUUAUAGCUGGUUCCGCGCUGCAUUAGCUAGUUGGUAAGGUAACGGCUUACCAAGGCAACGAUGCGUAGCCGACCUGAGAGGGGGGUCGGCCACACGAGAAGGUGACCAGCGACAAGAGUACUGAGGGAGGGAGCAGUAGGGAAUGGUCCGCAAUGGGCGAAAGCAUGACGGAGCAAGGCCGCGUGAGUGAUGAAGGUCUUCGGAGCGUAAAAAUCGGUUAUGAGUUGAGAACAGAUGUGGAAGUAAACGUGGAGAGCGUGACGGUACCGAGUCAGGAAGCAACGGCUAACUACGUG
rnacentral:rRNA from 1 species